UUAUCAGAGGGUCUUCUUACUCACUUGCUCAGGGAUCAGCCCUGCACAGAGCACAGUGUGAAGAUGGUGUCCCCAGCUCAGUUCUUCUGCCUCCUCCUGCUUGGGCUUCCAGAUGCCAAUGGAGAGAUUGUGAUGACCCAGUCUCCAACUUCCCUGUCUGUGACUCCAGGAGACACAGUCACCAUCUCCUGCACGGCCAGUCAAGACAUUAGCAAGUAUUUAGACUGGUACCAACAGAAACCCGGUCAGUCUCCAAAGUUACUCAUCUAUUACACAUCCACACUGUACUCUGGGGUCUCAUCCCGGUUCAGCGGCAGUGGGUCUGGCACACAUUACACUCUCACCAUCAGCGGCGUGGAGACUGAAGAUGCUGGAGUUUAUUACUGUCAGCAGUAUAAAAAUUGGUUUCCCACAGUGCUCCAGCCCUGAACAAAAACCUCCCCA